AGAGUUUGAUCAUGGCUCAGAUUAAACGCUGGCGGAAUGCUUUACACAUGCAAGUCGAACGGCAGCACGGGGGCAACCUGGUGGCGAGUGGCGAACGGGUGAGUAAUACAUCGGAACGUGCCCAAUCGUGGGGGAUAACGUAGCGAAAGUUACGCUAAUACCGCAUACGAUCUACGGAUGAAAGCGGGGGAUCGCAAGACCUCGCGCGAAUGGAGCGGCCGAUGUCAGAUUAGGUAGUUGGUGGGGUAAAGGCUCACCAAGCCAACGAUCUGUAGCUGGUCUGAGAGGACGACCAGCCACACUGGAACUGAGACACGGUCCAGACUCCUACGGGAGGCAGCAGUGGGGAAUUUUUGGACAAUGGGCGCAAGCCUGAUCCAGCCAUUCCGCGUGCAGGAUGAAGGCCUUCGGGUUGUAAACUGCUUUUGUACGGAACGAAACGGCGAGCUCUAAUACAGUUUGCUAAUGACGGUACCGUAAGAAUAAGCACCGGCUAACUACGUG
rnacentral:rRNA from 1 species